ensembl:lncRNA novel transcript
GUGCACAGUGAGGCUGCUCUCAGGGAAGGUGUCCUCCUGCUGGCAGCAGGGGCCAUGGGUACUGGCAGGGAGUUGGCGAUGGAGAGGACAGUUCAGGAAGAAAAGGGUGCAGGCUCUGGCAUCCGGUGCAGUCUUGCUCGUCAUCUCCGCUUCCCUCUGCUUCUUCCCAGGCUCCAGUUCUCCCUGGAUUCCAGGAACACCAUCUCCUUCCUCGUCCCUUCCAUCCCAGGGAAGGUUUACACUGAAAAUUUUUUGUGAUGAAAAGAUUUGAAGAAGAUGACAGGAGAUGGAGAAGCACCAGCUGAUCUGCAGACUCCAAGGAGGUCCCAGGAAGAGGUAUAAAGGAAGGAAUCUGAGACAUGGUUCUUCCUCCCUGUGGGUACCAUCCCUUCCUGUGGCAGCUCUCCUGUUCUCUAAGCACCUCGAUCCCCCCAACCCCACUCAUUUAUAUGGACCUGGCACUCAGAUCUUUCACCCGUAUAAUGCCACUCCAGGCUCUGCCUCUUGGGUAGUGUCCUAUGUCCUAGAAUAUUCCCAGAUGAGAAUGGGACCCCUUAGGUAGAGCUGUGUGCUCUGCCUCACCUAAUCCAGCUGGCAACCCCCAUAGGUGUCAUCCACUAAGAUCUU